GGAAGUAAAAGUCGUAACGAGGUUUCCGUAGGUGAACCUGCGGAAGGAUCAUUAAAGAGUAAGGGUCUUCGGGCCCGAUCUCCAACCCUUUGUUUAACUACCAUGUUGCUUUGGCGGGCCCGUCUCACGACCGCCGGAAGUUUGGCUUCGACCAAACUUCUGGCCCGUGCCCGUCAGUGGCCCCUUCAAAUUCUUGAUCAAGUAUGAUGUCUUAGUUAAAAACUUAAUAGUUAAAACUUUCAACAACGGAUCUCUUGGUUCUG
rnacentral:misc_RNA from 1 species